rnacentral:rRNA from 1 species
AUUGAACGCUGGCGGCAGGCCUAACACAUGCAAGUCGAGCGGAUGAAGGGAGCUUGCUCCUGGAUUCAGCGGCGGACGGGUGAGUAAUGCCUAGGAAUCUGCCUGGUAGUGGGGGAUAACGUCCGGAAACGGGCGCUAAUACCGCAUACGUCCUGAGGGAGAAAGUGGGGGAUCUUCGGACCUCACGCUAUCAGAUGAGCCUAGGUCGGAUUAGCUAGAUGGUGGGGUAAAGGCCUACCAAGGCGACGAUCCGUAACUGGUCUGAGAGGAUGAUCAGUCACACUGGAACUGAGACACGGUCCAGACUCCUAAGGGAGGCAGCAGUAGGGAAUAUUGGACGAUAGGCGGAAGCCUGAUCCAGCCAUGCCGCAUGUGUGAAGAAGGUCUUCGGAUUGUAAAGCACUUUAAGUUGGGAAGAAGGGCAGUAAGUUAAUACCUUGCUGUUUUGACGUUACCAACAGAAUAAGCACCGGCUAACUUCGUG